rnacentral:rRNA from 1 species
GAAAGAUUCAUCGGAAGAGGAUGGGCAUGCGGCGCAUUAGCUAGACGGCGGGGUAACGGCCCACCGUGGCGACGAUGCGUAGGGGUUCUGAGAGGAAGGUCCCCCACACUGGUACUGAGACACGGACCAGACUCCUACGGGAGGCAGCAGUGAGGAAUAUUGGUCAAUGGGAGAGAUCCUGAACCAGCCAAGCCGCGUGAGGGAAGACGGCCCUAUGGGUUGUAAACCUCUUUUGUCGGAGAACAAAACCCGGGACGAGUCCCGGACUGCGUGUAUCCGAAGAAAAAGCAUCGGCUAACUCCGUGCCAGCAGCCGCGGUAAUACGGAGGAUGCGAGCGUUAUCCGGAUUUAUUGGGUUUAAAGGGUGCGUAGGCGGUCCGUUAAGUCAGCGGUAAAAUUGCGGGGCUCAACCCCGUCGAGCCGUUGAAACUGGCAGACUUGAGUUGGCGAGAAGUACGCGGAAUGCGCGGUGUAGCGGUGAAAUGCAUAGAUAUCGCGCAGAACUCCGAUUGCGAAGGCAGCGUACCGGCGCCACACUGACGCUGAGGCACGAAAGCGUGGGGAUCGAACAGGAUUAGAUACCCUGGUAGUCCACGCAGU